CCUACGGGAGGCAGCAGUGGGGAAUAUUGGACAAUGGGCGGAAGCCUGAUCCAGCCAUGCCGCGUGUGUGAAGAAGGCCUUUUGGUUGUAAAGCACUUUAAGCGAGGAGGAGGCUACCGAGAUUAAUACUCUUGGAUAGUGGACGUUACUCGCAGAAUAAGCACCGGCUAACUCUGUGCCAGCAGCCGCGGUAAU
rnacentral:rRNA from 1 species